rnacentral:rRNA from 3 species
UCUGGUGACUUGACGCGGUGGAACUACCUGUUCCCAUUCCGAACACAGAAGUAAAACGCCGUAGUGCCGAUGAUACUCUUUUGGGGAAAGUAGGCAGUCGCCGGUA